rfam:Clostridium sticklandii str. DSM 519 chromosome, complete genome.
CUUAAUAACUAUGAUACAUGGUUUAAUCGAAAGAUUGAUUAAAAGAGAAGUUGGGUGAAAUUCCCACGCGGUCCCGCCGCUGUAAGAGAGUAGUUUUUACUUAUUAAUCCACUGAUUCAACGGAGAAUUGGGAAGGAAAGUAAAAAUGAUAAUCCUCAAGCCAGAAUACCUGCCUGUAUUAUUAGCCAGAA